AAGGAUGUGGGAACAAAGUUGGAAACAGAGGAUUUCCAAAAACAUACCAAGGAAAUGAUUCCAUUUCUUAGCCGAUUUCAUGGUAAAACCCACACAAUGUUUUGUCAGCUUUUGUAUGGAGGUCAUUGGAUGACUGGAGCUGCGUCAACAACAGGCGAGACGACUGAACAGACUAACUCCAAAAUGUCUCGUUAUUGAUCCACUACAAAGCACAUGAGUAAUCCAAAUAGAAGGGACCAUUUAACCGAUGGAAUGAUCUACUGGAAUCAAGGAAAGGAAUGCGGAAUGGCCAAGCAACUAGCGAAAUUCUAUAAUGCUGCUCUUGAUGAUUCGGUUCGUUAUGAUAAAGAGUUUGAAAAGCAAAAACAAACAUGGCUAGAGGAAACUAAGCGUCAAUUGCACGAAGCCCGUGAGAAACUAUCCAAGGCUCAGCAGGCUAUGGAUGAAAUUCCAUACAAACUCAAAAAGUUAUUGCAGAUAAAAUCUCCGGCUAAGAAAUUAAGAGAUUUUGCUGUGGUCCAAUCAAACAAACUGCGAUCCAAUCCAUAGUACCACAACUUACAUCGGAUAUCUUUAAACUUGAAAAAAGUCUUGGCGAAGGAGUUGUGCCUCAACUUCCCAAAAUUCUUGAAGACCUCCGGAACGAAGCGUCUCGCUGCCAGAGGAAGAGGAUUACUAAAAAAACUCCUCUUGAUGUUGCAAGGAAGAGUCUCGAAGCGACACAUCUGCUAAUGAGGAAUUUAAAAAAUCGUAUAGCGAAGGAGGCAGACAGCUCCAAGUCGCGAUCAGAGUUCAAAAGGCAGUUGCAGAAAUGUUCCGAGAAAGUCCAAAUCAUCAUUGGAACAAUAAAUGAGCAGACAAUACUCGAUAGUGAAAAAGUAACGAUAGAAAAUUGUUACAAUGGAAUUUUUCCCUGGCAGUCUUCUUCUGAAAUUUCAUUUCAAUUGAAAUAUCACCUCAUCGAUGCUUGGAUGUUUCAUCAGAGAAGUCGUGAAGAAAUUAUUCAAGUUAAAAAGGAAAUGGAGCAUUUCUACAUUGGACUUUGUGACAAGAAAAAGUUACUUUCCGAAGAGAUACAGAAGAAUUCAACCCGACGCACAACAAGAUAAACCGUUUUACAAAGGGAAAGUGAACCUUUUAAGAAGAGAAAGUUCCAGAAUUGGUGCUCUCUUGGAAGACGCAUCAUCAUGGUCUUGUGGCAUUAUAAAUGUACCAAGCCCUGAAAUUCGUCAAACAAUGGACAGGAGCAACCUCAACGAAAACACGUCGGAUUCGGAUACCACUUCAGAAGAUGAUGGGGAAAGCAAUUUUGGUAUUACGUUUGAAGGAACUGAAAUUGCGGAUUCUAGUUCUUCCGACGAAGCUGAUAAUAGUUUUAAUUCAACUGUGGAAUGAGGUAUGUUCAACUGAUACCUCGCUUUAACUCCGUGUUUCUGUGAAAAUAAAGAAUAAAUACAGCUGCGCUCAUAAUCAAAUUGUACGUUUGGUUUAUCCCUUCUAUUUUUUUCAAGGGAGUAGUGCGAAGGUUACUAACCAUAAAUUUGUCCAAUAACAUAAUGUAUACA